GAUAAGGUAAGCUAAUGAUAAGCUCAUGGGCUCAUGCCCCAUGGAUGGAAGGAUAGAUGCCUCCCUUUAUUU
rnacentral:tRNA from 1 species